GAUGAACGCUGGCGGCGUGCUUAACACAUGCAAGUCGAACGGUGAAGCAGGAGCUUGCUCUUGUGGAUCAGUGGCGAACGGGUGAGUAACACGUGAGCAACCUGCCCCUGACUCUGGGAUAAGCGCUGGAAACGGCGUCUAAUACUGGAUAUGUGAUGUGACCGCAUGGUCUGCAUCUGGAAAUAAUGUCGGUUGGGGUUGGGCUCGCGGCCUAUCAGGUUGUUGGUGUGGAACUGGCUCACCAAGGCGUCGACGGGUAGCCGGCCUGAGAGGGUGACCGGCCACACUGGGACUGAGACACGGCCCAGACUCCUACGGGAGGCAGCAGUGGGGAAUAUUGCACAAUGGGCGGAAGCCUGAUGCAGCAACGCCGCGUGAGGGAUGACGGCCUUCGGGUUGUAAACCUCUUUUAGCAGGGAAGAAGCGAAAGUGACGGUACCUGCAGAAAAAGCACCGGCUAACUACGUGCCAGCAGCCGCCGCAG
rnacentral:rRNA from 1 species